GACGAACGCUGGCGGCGUGCUUAACACAUGCAAGUCGAACGGAAAGUCCCUGCUUUUGUGGGUUGCUCGAGUGGCGAACGUGUGAGUAACACUUGAGUAACCUUCCCUUGACUUUGUUAUAACUUCAGGAAACUUUUGCUAAUACCGGAUAGGAUCUCCUGCUGCAUGGUGUGUGUUGGAAAUUUUCGGCGGUUGGGGAUGGACUCGCGGCUUAUCAUCUUGUUGGUGGGGUAGUGGCUUACCAAGGCUUUGACGGGUAGCCGGCCUGAGAGGGUGACCGGCGACAAUGGGACUGAGAGAAGGAACAGAAGACUACGGGAGGCAGCAGGGGGGAAUAUUGCACAAUGGGAGGAAGCAUGAUGAAGAAAAGCAGCGAGAGGGAUGACGGCCUUCGGGGUGUAAAAAGAUGUAGAAUGUGAAGAAGAGUGAGUGACGGUAAUGGGUAAAGAAGCAACGGCUAACUACGUG
rnacentral:rRNA from 1 species